UACGUAGGGUGCGAGCGUUUAAUCGGAAUUACUGGGCGUAAAGCGUGCGCAGGCGGCGCGUUAAGACAGGUGUGAAAGCCCCGAGCUUAACUUGGGAAUUGCGCUUGUGACUGGCGUGCUGGAGUGUGGCAGAGGGAGGUGGAAUUCCACGUGUAGCAGUGAAAUGCGUAGAGAUGUGGAGGAACACCGGUGGCGAAGGCGGGUCUCUGGGCCGAUGACUGACGCUGAGGAGCGAAAGCAUGGGGGAGCGAACAGG
rnacentral:rRNA from 1 species